UACGUAGGGUGCAGGCGUUAAUCGGAAUUACUGGGCGUAAAGCGUGCGCAGGCGGUUUGCUAAGACAGGUGUGAAAUCCCCGGGCUUAACCUGGGAACUGCGCUUGUAACUGGCAAGCUUGAGUGUGGCAGAGGGGGGUGGAAUUCCGACGGUGUAGCGUGAAAUGCGUAGAGAUGUGGAGGAACACCGAUGGCGAAGGCAGCCCCCUGGGCUAACACGUGACGCUCGAUGCACGAAAGCGUGGGGAGCAAACAGG
rnacentral:rRNA from 1 species